AUGAUCCCAAAGCAGGAUGUGGUGUCUGAUCCUCCGCAGACUCCUGGGUUACCUCAGGUGAACCCCGGCGUCACCUCCCGGCUGCAGCCAGCUCAGAUCGCCACAGGUUUCCAGCCACACCCGGAGCUCUCAGGCGGGCGGGGAGAGCGGAGCUGCGGGCAGCGGGCGGGCAGAGCCGGGAUCUUCCCGGCAGCGCAGCCCCGGAGAGAGGGGAGCAUCACUCUGCAGCGUCCCGGAGCCCCGGGGUGGCACGGGGCCGGGCAUCCCACCGCAUCCACCGCCUCCCAUCGCAUCCACCGCCUCCUAUCGCAUCCCAUCGCAUCCACCGCCUCCCAUCGCAUCCCACCGCCUCCCAUAGCAGCCCAUCGCUUCCCGCCGCCUCCCACCGCAUCCACUGCCUCCCACCGCCUCGACCGCAUCCAUCCCAUCGCAUCCAUCACUUCCCAUCGCGUCCCACGCCCCCUCCGCGUCCCGGCCGGCCCUGCCCAGCCCCGCGGCAGGAGGAGCGGCUCCGCCCGGCCCCGCUGCCCGAGCUGCCGGAGCCGCUCCGCGCUCUCCUCCUCGCUUUGGAGAUGCUCGAGGCCUCUGUCAUCUGUGAGCAGCUGCCACAGAGGAAUUGUCCUGGCAGAGCCUGAAGGAAUCCGGGAUCACAGCACUCCCCAAGGUGCUCCUGUUCCCUCUGCCUGUGGAUGCUGCUGCCACCAAGGACACAGCUCUUCUCCCAACAACACCCACCCCUCUGGAAAUAAAAAUCCCCAAGCAACCCAACACAUUUUCAUCCAGGAGUGCAGACCACAACUGAACUUCCAAGGCCUGGACGUCCGCUCCGAUUCUCACUCUGUGUGCCCGUGAAGAAGAUGUCCAAGAACACAACAGAGAACUCAAGCAAUGCUCCCUCAGCUCUUCUAGGCCUGUUCCUUGGGAGCAUUUCCCUGA
ensembl:lncRNA